rnacentral:rRNA from 1 species
UACGGGGGGGGGCAAGCGUUGUUCGGACUUACUGGGCGUAAAGGGCUCGUAGGUGGCCAACUAAGUCGGACGUGAAAUCCCUCAGCUUAACUGGGGAACUGCGUCCGAUACUGGAUGGCUUGAGUUUGGGAGAGGGAUGCGGAAUUCCAGGUGUAGCGGUGAAAUGCGUAGAUAUCUGGAGGAACACCGGUGGCGAAGGCGGCAUCCUGGACCAACACUGACACUGAGGAGCGAAAGCCAGGGGAGCAAACGGG